ensembl:lncRNA
GACACAUAGGGCUAGUUCAAACAAUGCCUUCUGACAAAAGUCUUGGAGAAUGGCAGUAGUACCUGAAAAAUGGUUGACAGCUAAAGUAACUCCAGUCUUCAAAAUGGGCAAGAAGGAGAAUCCAGGAUACUACAGGCUAGUCAGCCUCACCUCCAUCCUCGGGAAACUGAUGGAACAACUUAUGUUUGACAUCAUCUCCAACUAUCCUAGCAGAAGAAGAAAAGUGCAGGCUACUCCUGAGAUGCAGUGUCUCAGCCUUGCAUGGAGACCCCAGCUUCUCUGAUUUGGAUAAGCCUGCUACAGCUGCGUCAGAUGUGCCGUUAUUAUGGACAACCCAAGGAGAACUGAACAGCAUAUAUGUAUGGACUCUGCAAAAAAUUUGCACGCUCUUUUCCCUUUUUAUGUUUUCUUUCUGCCUGUAAUUGACUGAGAAUAUGCAACUCCAGCCCUGCUGCCAAUGGGGUUCAUGAAACAUUGUGACACUGCGGUGGUAACCAUCUCUGUAUUCCUAUAACAAAUCCUUGCUUUUAUUUUCUGUCUUUACACUAUCACUUUCUUCAUCUCACCUCCCAUCCCCAGGCCUAGCAAACCAAAAGUUUUCUAAUAAACUGGUUGAGCAAGUAUUUGACUCUUUUCCAAAUCUUAAUUUCUCAUUGGGUGUAUGCAUAUCAUGAACCAUUUCACUGUCAAUAAUUGGAGUGAGACAGCAUGUAACUUUCUGUGUUGCAGUUUUUGCCCAUUUCCCCUUGUCUUGUCACUGUCACUUGCAUAUCACUGAAUAGAUUCCAUCCCCAUUAACUUGACUCCCACAGUUUAGAUACAUAUAAGAUUUUAUAAAAUUCUCCCCUCCGUCUUCUCAUCUACUGGCUGAACAGUCCAGGGCCUCUCAGCCUUUUCUCAGAAGGAAGAUCCUCCAGGCCCCUAGUCAUCUUUGUGGUCCUUCACUGUGAAGGGGGGAAGGGGGAAGGGGAGAAGGAAGGGAGGAAGGGCGGAAGGGAGGAAGAGGAAGGGAGGAAGAAAUUCCUAUUUUCUUCUUCUGUAUUUAAUAAAUAACAUCAAAAAACCUACCACUCACAGUGAAGUUCUCUGGAGCAAAUAAUUGAAUAAGUGAGCAAAACUAUUACAGGACUCUGGGGAUAUAUGUAGUAAUAGCCUGAUCAACUGUGCAAAUUAACCCUUCAAAAAAAAAAAAAAAAGUUCUGGUUUUGAACUAAAGCUGGAAAAAACUGUAAAUGACAGAGAUAUAAGGAAAUAAAUAUCCAACAGGGACCAGUGACUUGUGUUAUUUAAUGAAGAAACAAUUAUUUUAGAAGCAGCAGUACGAUAGUAGUGAGAAAGUCGUGAAGAGUAAGAAUAACAAGCUAAUGAAUUCAAUUGGUAACUGAAUGAAGUAACAGUGUUUACUAAUAGCAUUUGCUACACAUGUAGUUCUCACUAUUAUUGAGAGCAAAGAUGUAAUAUGUGUGCCAUUUAGACUGCAUAUAAUCCUUCAAAGAAAAAAAGGUUUAGCUGGGAAAAUAGUGGCACAUAAGAGAGCUAGCUAAGUUUCAUUCUAGUAUUUGGACAAUUAGUAGUAUUCAAAUAAUAGUUAUGAUUCUAGAACACUUAGUGUACAGAAGAUUUUUUUUACUUGUUAGCAUGCACUAUUACUGAUUAUUUAUACAUUGUUAUUUUCCAAAGCGCUCAGCCUAUCUGGAGGAUCAGAAGAUGUAACAAACAGCACAUUUUUUAAAAAGUGAUGCUGAAUAACUGCAAUAUUUAUCAAGGCUAGUUCUGUUGAAUGCUUAUACCGAGCAUGUUUUCACAAUAAUA